AGGACAUCGUAGAGGGUGAAAAUCCCGUACUUGCCAUGGAUGUACCGUGCUUUGCGAUACGUGCUCUAAGAGUCGAGUUGUUUGGGAUUGCAGCUCAAAAUGGGUGGUAGACUCCAUCUAAAGCUAAAUAUCGGGGAGAGACCGAUAGCGAACAAGUACCGUGAGGGAAAGAUGAAAAGCACUUUGGAAAGAGAGUUAAAAGUACGUGAAAUUGUCGAAAGGGAAGCGCUUGAAGUCAGCCAUGCCGCUCAGGACUCAGCCUGGCUUUUGCUUGGUGUAUUUCCUGGGUAGCAAGUCAGCAUUGGUUUGGAUCGUCGGAGAAGCAUAGUCGGAAUGUGGCGCCCUCGGGCGUGUUAUAGCCUUCUAUUGGAUACGACGAUCUAGACCAAGGAACGCAGCGCGCC
rnacentral:rRNA from 1 species